UCCGGGGCAGAAAAUUGGACA
rnacentral:misc_RNA from 1 species